rnacentral:rRNA from 1 species
AUAAGCGGAGGAAAAGAAACCAACAGGGAUUGCCUUAGUAACGGCGAGUGAAGCGGCAACAGCUCAAAUUUGAAAUCUGGCCCUUGGGUCCGAAUUGUAAUUUGUAGAGGAUGAUUUUGGUGCGGUAUCUUCCGAGUUCCUUGGAACAGGACGCCUUAGAGGGUGAGAGCCCCGUACGGUUGAAUGCCUAGCCUCUGUAAAUCUCCUUCGACGAGUCGAGUAGUUUGGGAAUGCUGCUCUAAAUGGGAGGUAAAUUUCUUCUAAAGCUAAAUAUUGGCCAGAGACCGAUAGCGCACAAGUAGAGUGAUCGAAAGAUGAAAAGCACUUUGAAAAGAGGGUUAAAUAGCACGUGAAAUUGUUGAAAGGGAAGGAUUUGUGACCAGACUUUUUCUGGGCGGAUCAUCCGGGGUUCUCUCCGGUGCACUUCGCCCAGUAAAGGCCAGCAUCGGUUUUCGGCGUGGGAUAAAAGCAGUAGGAAUGUGGCUCUCUACGGGGAGUGUUAUAGCCUAUUGUAUAAUACCGCGCUGGGGACCGAGGUUCGCGCUUCUGCAAGGAUGCUGGCGUAAUGGUUAUCAAUCACCCGUCUUGAAACACGGACCAAGGAGUCGAACAUUUGUGCAAGUGUUUGGGUGUUAAACCCUCACGCGUAAUGAAAGUGAACGGAGGUGAGAGCCCUUACGGGUGCAUCAUCGACCGAUCCUGAAGUUUUCGGAUGGAUUUGAGUAAGAGCAUAACUGUUCGGACCCGAAAGAUGGUGAACUAUGCGUGGAUAGGGUGAAGCCAGAGGAAACUCUGGUGGAGGCUCGCAGCGGUUCUGACGUGCAAAUCGAUCGUCAAAUCUGCGCAUGGGGGCGAAAGACUAAUCGAACCAUCUAGUAGCUGG